rnacentral:lncRNA from 1 species
UCACAACUGAUUAACUAUUACACUUUGAAGGACCUUCAGCGAGGCAGUUCAUUGAAGCAAAGAUCAAUGAGCUUUUCCCUAACGAGCAGCUAUUGUUCUUGGAAAAAGCAUAUAAGAUAUCAAGAAUAUCAAUACAUACAAGCUUCCGUGGUUUGCUCCCAUAGCCAACUUCCUCGCUUCUGGAGUACUUUCGGAUCAUUACAACCAUCAGUAGAAGAGUAAGCUGGUUUCUGAUUCCAAGCAAUAUCUUUGGGAUGAUCCUUUUCUAUAUCACUCGAGAACAAACGACAUCAUAAGUCGGUGUGUCACUCUCCAUGAAGCCGGUGACAUCAUGCGCCACUGCCACACCGGCCCCUCUAGGGGACAUCAUAGUGGUAACCGCACAACUCUCAAAAUACUCAAAGCUGGUUUCUUCUGGUGGAAAAUUUGGAGAAUUUAUGAUGGUGAUGGGUGGAAACGAACAUGUAAGUUUGGGUGACCUGAAUCGAUCCGGAAUUCCCACUCGAAGCCUCCAUGAUUCGCCGGCGUUGAGCUCUGUUUGUAUGAGUUCAUGAACCAACCUUGAAUCGACCGGGCUCUAGUGCAAACAUCAUGGGACAAAACGAAAUCGCAAGGGGAACAAAAAUCCUUACUCAAACUUCAAAGAACUAACGAUUUGGAGAAACGAACAAGAGCUCUGGGCGCCAUCGAAAGUUUGUCGUGAGCUCCUGACCCAUAAUAUGAACAAGUCAAGCUCUAAAUCACAGAUGAAAGUUAUGUAAUCCUAAACAAGAUGGAGGACUAAUCAAUGCCUCAAGCUCACCUUUGUAGUUCUUGGAUUCUAAGAAGUAAAGGAGAAGAGGGUCGCCGACGAGUUACGGCGGCGAGUUAGAUAGGCUUAAAUCGAGGGUUGAGGAUAUUCUU